AUGGACGUUGCCGGACGUGCCCUACUGAGGAAGAAGGGAAGGAACCAUGUCCAGAGCAGGUGGGAAGACUGCGUCCAGCGGACAGAGGAUGACUGGGACUCAUUUUGCUGCUUUCGAAGUUCGUUUGUGAAAGGUGGCAAAGCUGAGAAAGCCUAUUUCUCCUACCUACUGCAUCCUACACAUGGUCACUAUGGAUUGCUAGGACAGUGAGUGACAAAGUUGAAAUGCCAAGUGGCUCAGAAAGGACCACAAGCCUCAUCUUCUCUGUGUCCUGACUGCAGACAUGGUCUUUAUUUCUUCUUUGAUGUGUACACAGAAGAGAGCUGUGCCCUGUUUAUGUGGAUGAAACCUUCUACGUGGGCAAGUCAAAAGUUGUUAGUUUAAAAAAAUCCAGUUUUAUAAUGAGAACAUGAGAAAAAUUCUAAGUCAUUGGCAUCCUUCCAUGAGGCUUUCUUUCUUGAUGGUACCACAGAGGUGGUAUAAAGUCUUUUCCAACUUCUGGUCACAGCUGACUGGAUGUUGAGGUCAUGGAAUUUAGUGUUCACCUGACUGGAGGAGCAUUAUUUCUGGAUGUGACCAUGAGGAAUUUCUAAGGAAACUGGUAUGUAUGUGGGUGCCUGGGCUCUGUGGGCAAGGUCCACUCUCAACUCAGGUGGACAGUGUGCAGCCAGCCGGGAGCUGCAGGGAAAUGAGAAAAGAUCUUCUCUGUGUCUCUCCUGGAACAGACAUGCUUUUCCUUUGUCCUUAAGACUCCAGGUCUGCGAGGUUCUGGUAUCUGGGUUGUGGAAAUGUGCUGAGUCCUCAGAUCUCUGGUCUCAGACUGAGGCUUACACAGUGGUUUGUCUGUUCUGUGCAUUUCGGACAUAGACUGAGCCCCUCUCCCAGUAUUCCAGAGCUCCCUCCACCUUGCAGAAAGCCUGUUAUGAGGAUGCUCAGCCAUGUAGGCCACUUCCUCUAAGAGCUGUUGGCUCAGAGGAACUUCAUUUAUAUUUUAAACAAUGCUGGGGCCAGACUCAGUGCCAACACAGACUGUUCUCAAGAGAAGAUCUCCACAGUAAGUCUCCUCUAAGGCAAAGCGUAGGAGUGUGGCAGUCUAUUGAGAGCCAGAAACUACAUGGCGAUCAGUGUGCAUCUGCAGCCUGGAAAAGCUGCACGCUGAGAUUCCCAACUGUGCCAGCAGCUGGUGGACCAAGACACACAAAGCCAUAGUAGACAGGGUUCUGGGCUUGAUUGGUACUAGUCACCUCCUUCUGGCUUGUUUCUCACUUCUGAUUGGUACUGAACAUUUUUCCCCUGAACCUCCAUUAAUUUUGAAAGUGUGAAGAUUGCAAAGUGCACAGCCUCAAAGCCAAAGAAUGCUGAUUCUCACCUGUAUCUGGAAGUGUAUGGAUUGCUGACUUCACAGGCUCCCAGAUGAGAUGAGGACCACCUCUGCAUAAGAAUUUUCCAAGUCAGGAGCAGUUGUAAUUUUCUUGGCCUUGUUAACACUUAUUAUAACAUACCCUUUAUAACCAGAGUGGCUGGUGCUAAUAUGUUGGAGGCCACCUCCUUUAGAAUAAUGCUUCUCCAUCCAGAAAGGGCACUGUUGAUAAGCUGAAGCCACACCUUUUUAAAUGGCACUAUUCCUAGUCCCAGCUACAUCUUCACAGGCAUCUUCUACAUCAUGUAACAGAAGUGGAUUGUUGAGGUGUUUUCUAUACUGGAGCUUCAGUCUCAGUGGAUGAUCAUGCUGUAGUGAAGCCUACACAGUGAUUUUCUGCAUCAGUCACCACUGGCCUAAUUGGACCAGACUCCACCUUGAUGAAAUACCUAGACAAUUUUUUAACUUUUUCAGUUUUCACCAGAGGGCAACAUCCUGGGCCACUUCCCCUUCUUUCUUCUGCAGAGAAAAAGAAAAGUUCUUAGGCUUAUAGUUCAUAUAUCAAAAAAAAAAGUCUCAGCAUGGCUAUGAACCAAGGUGUAGUUUUGCUCUGGUCUGAUUCACUAGCACAGAAUCCAUACUCUCCAAGAGCCAUGGAGCACUGUUACCACACCCUUACUGAUAUAGCCUGUCUUUAGGAACAGUGAAGUCAAUAUUUCUAAUACCCCACUGUACUUUUGUGUGUGUGUUUGCAUGUUUUUGUACAGCUCAGUUGUCAAUCUUUAAUUGUGGACUACCUUGGUUUUGGGAGUAGAAUCUUUUAUCGGUAUUGAAACUUACCCAUUUAAUUAUGCUUGACGGCCAUCAUAUACCAGGAAUCAGCCUGUCUCUUCCUUCCCAGUGCUGGGAGUCCAAGUGUGUACCACCAUCCCACUGUAUUAUAUUAUCAUCAGCAUUGCUGACACUUGGGUUCAAGGCCCCGAGCUCAGGUUCUCACUCUGCAUGACAAGCACUUUUUAUAGACUGAGGGUCUCUUCGGCCUUCACUUUAUGCAUUCCUGAAGUCUUGGUGCUCCUUCAUUGUCUGACAACCUGUCAUCUACAGUUCCGUUGUGUAGCUAUGCCGAAAUGUAUAUUCUAUAUCCCAGGCAAGUAUGACAAUAAAUGUCACCCCAGCUCAUCGGCAGUCUCUAGUGAAUUUGAACUGAAAAUAAAGCCUGCAACAUUUUCCUGGUGCUCACUUCCAGUGAAAUUUAAAAUUUAAAACACCACAAAAUAUCAAGUAAUCAACUCCCUCGGCUCAGGCUUUUUGAGAUGUAUACUGCAGGGCUGCUCAGCCCUCUACUGACUGCACAACAGAAUACCUUACAGAACAGCUUACAGAAGACCUCAACAAACAGCCGUAAAUUAGUGUGGAGUUGCCUACAGUGUGUUUGUCUAGCUAGGGAGCACUGCUGAGCCCUACAUGUUUCUCCUCGAUCUAAAAGUAACUAUUCCCAACAAGACACUAUGCAUAGCUCUGGGAAGAUCACUGACUACAGAUGGGAUAACCAAAUGUGAUCAAAACUUCUUGCUCCAGCCCUGUGAAAAACUUUAUUUUCUAGUGAGAAUGUUCACUGGGGGCAGUGUGAAUACAGCAGAAAGGUCGCAGCUGUCUGUCCCCCAGUCACCCUCUUGUACACGUAGGUGGAAUCUGUAAGAAUCCUUCGUAUCACUAUUGGCCAUUUUUUUUUUUGAGUUACUGGCCUCUGUGUCCCCAAAAUGAACUGGUUCAUUAAAAUCACAGACUCCAUUGGUACAGCCCAGCACAGGCUGAGUAGCCAGCACACGGUCCUCUGUCUCUGUGAUCUCCACACUGACCUUGCUGUCGGAUGCUGUUCAUAUUCCUUGGUGUAUCACUUUAGGUCACAUUUCAGGCUCUUAGCUUUGGGAAAAUGAUUUUUCAGUCUGAAAUACAGCACUGCAAUGGCGAAUGUGAACAGUUCUAAUGUCAGAAGCGACAGAAAGAAGACAGAUUGGGAGAGGCAGCUGUCUCUCACGUGCAUUGAAACCCCUGCCCUGCCCUGCUGCCCAUCUGUACUGCUCUGUGAGGACAGCAUUAGCUCCGGUCUCAUGCUUGGUGCUUGGGAUCUGAGGCUUCUGUCUCAAUAACCCCAUGCUGCUCAGAAGAUUUUAGGUCAGCCACAGGAAUAAGGAAGACCCACCCUUGUUAGAACCUGGCGUCUGUACUGCUUGCUAUAUGGUGUUAUGCCUGUAGCCCUGUGCCAUUACAGGGCUGUAUGCCAUCUGGGAACUAAGCUGGAAACUUAAAACCAGACAAACACAGAGAGAGGCGGAGACAUGGGUCACUCUUGAUACAAGAGUGUCAAGAAUGUCCCUUUUCUAUAUAAUUAUGGAUGGUCUCUCAGUGUUCCCUUAGUUCCCAAUCUCGAUGGGGCCUCCACUGUUAGAGUUCAAAAUGGUCCUGUACUACGUGCUAUACAGUACACUGACUGUAGCUCCCGACCCUCCUGUAGCUCCUGUGUCACUCUACAGGACCAAUUGUGCAAGCCAGGAACUUGACUGAGAAACUUAAACAUACAAAGACACACACACACACACACACACA